rnacentral:tRNA from 1 species
GAGGUAAGUUAAUUUAAACUGUAUGACUCAUGAUCAUAAAAUAUAAUAUUUUAUCCUUUCUU